rnacentral:rRNA from 1 species
AGAGUUUGAUCAUGGCUCAGAUUGAACGCUGGCGGCAGGCCUAACACAUGCAAGUCGAACGGUAACAGGAAGAAGCUUGCUUCUUUGCUGACGAGUGGCGGACGGGUGAGUAAUGUCUGGGAAACUGCCUGAUGGAGGGGGAUAACUACUGGAAACGGUAGCUAAUACCGCAUAACGUCGCAAGACCAAAGAGGGGGACCUUCGGGCCUCUUGCCAUCGGAUGUGCCCAGAUGGGAUUAGCUAGUAGGUGGGGUAACGGCUCACCUAGGCGUCGAUCCCUAGCUGGUCUGAGAGGAUGACCAGCCACACUGGAACUGAGACACGGUCCAGACUCCUACGGGAGGCAGCAGUGGGGAAUAUUGCACAAUGGGCGCAAGCCUGAUGCAGCCAUGCCGCGUGUAUGAAGAAGGCCUUCGGGUUGUAAAGUACUUUCAGCGGGGAGGAAGGGAGUAAAGUUAAUACCUUUGCUCAUUGACGUUACCCGCAGAAGAAGCACCGGCUAACUCCGUGCCAGCAGCCGCGGUAAUACGGAGGGUGCAAGCGCUAAUCGGAAUUACUGGGCGUAAAGCGCACGCAGGCGGUUUGUUAAGUCAGAUGUGAAAUCCCCGGGCUCAACCUGGGAACUGCAUCUGAUACUGGCAAGCUUGAGUCUCGUAGAGGGGGGUAGAAUUCCAGGUGUAGCGGUGAAAUGCGUAGAGAUCUGGAGGAAUACCGGUGGCGAAGGCGGCCCCCUGGACGAAGACUGACGCUCAGGUGCGAAAGCGUGGGGAGCAAACAGGAUUAGAUACCCUGGUAGUCCACGCCGUAAACGAUGUCGACUUGGAGGUUGUGCCCUUGAGGCGUGGCUUCCGGAGCUAACGCGUUAAGUCGACCGCCUGGGGAGUACGGCCGCAAGGUUAAAACUCAAAUGAAUUAACGGGGGCCCGCACAAGCGGUGGAGCAUGUGGUUUAAUUCGAUGCAACGCGAAGAACCUUACCUGGUCUUGACAUCCACAGAACUUUCCAGAGGUGGAUUGGUGCCUUCGGGAACUGUGAGACAGGUGCUGCAUGGCUGUCGUCAGCUCGUGUUGUGAAAUGUUGGGUUAAGUCCCGCAACGAGCGCAACCCUUAUCUUUUGUUGCCAGCGGUCCGGCCGGGAACUCAAAGGAGACUGCCAGUGAUAAACUGGAGGAAGGUGGGGAUGACGUCAAGUCAUCAUGGCCCUUACGACCAGGGCUACACACGUGCUACAAUGGCGCAUACAAAGAGAAGCGACCUCGCGAGAGCAAGCGGACCUCAUAAAGUGCGUCGUAGUCCGGAUUGGAGUCUGCAACUCGACUCCAUGAAGUCGGAAUCGCUAGUAAUCGUGGAUCAGAAUGCCACGGUGAAUACGUUCCCGGGCCUUGUACACACCGUCCGUCACACCAUGGGAGUGGGUUGCAAAAGAAGUAGGUAGCUUAACCUUCGGGAGGGCGCUUACCACUUUGUGAUUCACGACUGGGGUGAAGUCGAAACAAGGUAACCGUAGGGGAACCUGCGGUUG